rnacentral:sRNA from 1 species
GCAGGGAGGCCUUACACCUUCCAGACUGAAGGAGCCUACCAAGGUAGCCAGUGGGCGGACCACUCCAGCCCCUGUCAAUCAGACAGAUCGGGAAAAGGAGAAGGCCAAAGCCAAGGCAGUGGCCUUGGACUCAGACAACAUCUCCUUGAAGAGUAUUGGCUCCCCAGAAAGUACUCCCAAGAACCAAGCAAGCCACCCCACAGCCACCAAGCUGGCAGAGCUGCCACCAACCCCUCUCAGGGCCACAGCGAAGAGCUUUGUCAAACCACCCUCACUAGCCAAUCUUGACAAGGUCAACUCCAACAGUCUGGAUCUACCAUCAUCCAGUGAUACCACCCAUGCUUCAAAGGUCCCAGAUCUGCAUGCUACAAGCUCAGCAUCUGGGGGCCCUCUCCCUUCCUGCUUCACCCCCAGUCCGGCACCCAUCCUCAAUAUUAACUCAGCCAGCUUCUCCCAGGGCCUGGAGCUAAUGAGUGGUUUCAGUGUGCCAAAAGAGACCCGCAUGUACCCUAAACUCUCAGGCCUGCACAGGAGCAUGGAGUCCCUCCAGAUGCCAAUGAGCCUGCCCAGUGCCUUCCCCAGCAGUACUCCCGUCCCCACCCCACCUGCUCCCCCUGCUGCUCCCACAGAAGAAGAGACGGAAGAGCUGACUUGGAGUGGAAGCCCCAGAGCUGGGCAACUGGACAGUAAUCAGCGGGAUCGGAACACUCUUCCCAAGAAAGGGCUCAGGUACCAGCUUCAGUCCCAGGAGGAGACCAAGGAGAGGCGACAUUCCCAUACCAUUGGUGGGCUGCCUGAAUCUGAUGACCAGUCAGAGCUGCCUUCUCCCCCUGCACUUCCCAUGUCUUUGAGUGCAAAGGGCCAACUUACCAACAUAGUGAGUCCCACUGCGGCCACCACGCCAAGAAUCACCCGCUCCAACAGCAUCCCCACCCACGAGGCGGCCUUCGAGCUGUACAGCGGCUCCCAAAUGGGGAGCACCCUGUCCCUGGCCGAGAGACCCAAGGGAAUGAUUCGGUCAGGAUCCUUCCGAGACCCCACGGACGAUGUUCAUGGCUCAGUGCUGUCCUUGGCCUCCAGUGCCUCCUCCACCUACUCCUCACAAAUCCGGAAGCUUCGUAGGGAACUGGAAUCAUCCCAGGAAAAAGUGGCCACCUUGACGUCUCAGCUUUCUGCCAAUGCUAAUCUAGUGGCUGCUUUCGAGCAGAGCCUGGUGAAUAUGACAUCCCGCCUGCGACACCUGGCAGAGACGGCCGAGGAGAAGGACACAGAGCUGCUGGAUUUGCGAGAAACUAUAGACUUUCUGAAGAAAAAGAACUCUGAGGCCCAGGCAGUCAUUCAGGGAGCCCUUAAUGCCUCAGAAACCACACCCAAAGGUAGGACAUCCAGCCACAGAUUGAGAGGGAACAGGGAUGGCAGGAAAGGAAGAGUAUUACAGAUUUUUAUCUGGGCCCAUAGUAUUCCAGGUCCUAUAUCAAAUCUCUAGAAGGUGAGGGCCUUUAGAUACCCUUUAGUGUGAUGUCUGGACUGGUCAGUGAGGAGUACCAGGGGCAUGACCCCAGUUUCCUAGGGCAUGAAGGCAAGUAGAGGAGACCUGUAAGCCCCGGGGGUCCUCUCCUUAACCUUUACGUCAGGGCCAAAGAGCCAUCAAAGACCAUCGUUAAAAUAGCCCUUUACAUUUUUAUGCAAAUGUGUUGUGUGUCCACACGCACACACACAAACACACACACAAUCUUAUUUGAUCCUCGCUUUAGUUCUCCAACGGAGAUGCAAUCUACUCUUCCAAUGAAACAACCAAAGCUCACAUAAGUUUACGGUACUGAAAUGGCAAGUUAGCCUGGACGUUUAGUAACCAGUCAAGCUUUCCUACAGAAGUCAAGAUGGAUGGGAGUCUGAUGCCACAAAAAUCUGUGAUCUCUAACUCCAAUCAGGUCUUCAAGAUACCUUGGCAGUCCUCUUACUUGUCCACAGUCAGUUUUCUUUUUUAUUCCACUAUCAGUGAUUCCCAGCUUUCAUUGCUUUUUUCAAGCUCCUCAUUCCACCACUGACUUGCCUUACUCUGAACAUAGCCUUGGCCCCCGACUUAGUUAAGAAAAUGAACAUUUUCAGAAGAGAACUCCAUUGACUCUUCCCCACUCCAUGCGUUUAUAUUCAUCCAAUACUUAUUUAUUUGUCUCCAUUUUGUUGGAAGGAUCCAUCCCUUCUGGCCAAGAGUGACCACUUAUCUAAUGUUUUGGGAUGCCCUCUUUAGCAACCAUACAAACCUCCUCCACCCCACACAUGCCCUUUUCUACCUGUCUGAUCUCUUAUGCUCUAUUCAUUCCUUCUCUGCUUAUAAACCUGCCAAAGGCUUUUGUAUCUUAAAGGGGAAAGAUGUAUCAAUCUAUGUUCUAACUAUAAUCUUACUUCUUUCCUUCCUCCAGUCGAUCCUACCUUUCCACCUCCCUUUCACACCUAACCCCACUAUAAUUACGCUUCUGUCACCAUCAUUCUACCAAAAACACUUUCACUAAAGUCACCAGUGACUCCCAUUUUUCCAAAAUCCAACUUACAAUUUUUAGUACUUAUUUUACCUUUUUUUUUUUAGUCGGAGUCUCACUUUGUUGCCCAGGCUGGAGUGCAGUGGCGCGAUCUCAGCUCACCACAACCUCCGCCUCUCAGGUUCAGGCGAUUCUCCUGCCUCAGCCUCCCGAGUAGCUGGGACUACAGGCGCCUGCCACCAUGCCUGGCUAAUUUUUGUAUUUUUAGUAGAGAUGGGGUUUCACCAUGUUAGCAAAGUGUUUUCAAGACUCAUUCAUGUUGUGUCAUGUAUCCGCACAUCAUUCCUUUUUGUGACUGAAUAAUAUUCCAUUGUGUGGAUAUACCAAAGUUUGUUUAGCCAUUCAUCAGUUGAUAGGUAGGCAUUGAGUUGUUUUCACUUUUUGCCUAUUAUGAAUAAUGCUGCCAUGAACAUUCAUGUACAAGUUUGUGUGUGGACAUAUGUUUUUAGUUCUCUGGGGUAUAUACCUAGAAGUGGAAUUGCUGGGUCAUAUGGUAACUCUGUGUUUGACUUUUUGAGGAAUUGGCAAGCUGUUUUCCAGAGCAGCUGCACCAUUUUACAUUCCUGUCAGCAGCAUAUGAGGGUGCCGAUAUCGCCACAUUCUUUGUUUUUGUUUUUUUGAGAUAGUGUCUCACUCUGUUGGCCAGGCUGGAGUGCGAUGGUGCAUCUUGGCUCACUGCAACCUCUGCCUCCCAGGUUCAAGUAAUUCUCCUGCCUCAGCCUCCUGAGAAGCUGGGAUUACAGGUGCUCGCCACCAUACCCAGCUAAUUAUUUUUUGUAUUUUUAGUAGAGACAGGGUUUCACCAUGUUGGCCAGACUGGUCUCAAACUCCUGACCUCCAGUGAUCUGCCCACCUCGGCGUCCCAAAGUGCUGGGAUUACAGGCGUGAGCCACAACACUCAGCCCUAUAGCUCCACAUUCUUGCUAACACUUACUGACCUCUUUUUUGUAAUAGCUAGCUUAGUGGGUGUGAGGUGGUAUCUCACUGUGGUUUUGAUUUUCAUUUUCUUUAUGGCUAAGAAUACCGAGCAUCUUUUCAUGUGCUUAUUUGCUAUUUGUAUGUCUUCAUGGAGAAAUGUCUAUUCAAAUCCUUGGCCCAUUUUUAAAAUCAGGUUAUUUGUCUUUUGUUGUUGAGCUUUAAGAGUUUUUUAAUAAUUCUGAAUAUUAGACCCUUAUCAGAUAUAUGAUUUGAAAAAUAGUUUCUCUCAUUGUAUGAGUUGCUGUUUUGCUUCCUUGAAAAUAUUCUUGAAGAACAAAAGUUUUCCAUUUUCAUGAGGUAUAAUUUAUCUAUUUUUUUCCUUUGGCUGCUUGUGCUUUAUGUGCUGUAUCUAAGAAAUUAUUGCCUAAUCCAGGGUCAUGAAGACUUAUUCCUAGGAUUCCUUCUAAAAUUUUUUUUAGUUUUAGGUCUUUGUUCCAUUUUUAGUAAAUUUUUGUACAUGCUAUGAGGUAGGCAGUCCAACUUCAUUCUUUUACACGAGGAUAUCUAGUUGUUCCAGCAUCAUUUGCUGAAAAGACUAUUUUUUCCCCCAUUGAAUUGUCUUGGCACUCUAGGAAAUCAAUUGACCAUACAUACAUGGGUUUCUUUCUAGACUUUCAGUUCUAUUCCAUUCUUCUAUAUGUCUAUCCUUGGCCAGUACCACAUUGUUUUGAUUACUGUAGCUUUGUAGUAAGUUUGGAAAUUGGGAAGUGUGAGUCCUCCAACUUUGUUCUUUUUCAAGGUUGUUUUGGCUACUCUGUGUCCUUUGCAUUUCCAUGUGAAUUUUGGGAUUCAUUUGUUAAUCUCAGAUUGAAUUUUGCUAGGGAUUGCAUUGAAUCUGUAUGUGAAUUUAGAGAGUAUUGCCUCUUAACAAUGGUAAGUCUUCCAAUCCAUGAAAAGGCAUGCCUUUAUCCAUAUAUUCUUUCAUUUCUUUCAGUGAUAUUUUGCAGUUUUUCAGCAUAUGAACCUUGCACUUAUUUUGUUAAACUUAGUUUUUAUGCUGUUCUAAACUGAAUUGUUUUCUUAAUUUCUCUUUUGAGUUAUAGAUUACUAGUGUAUAAAAAUACAAUUGAUUUUUUGCACAUGAUCUUAUAUCCUGCAGACUUGCUGGGCUCCCUUAUCAGCUCAAUUGGUUUUACAAUCUCUUCUUAAUCUGUAUUUCUAUCCAUAUCAGUCUCCUGAGUUCCAUACCUUUACUUCCAACCAUGUUUGGAUGUUUCCACUUAGUUGACCUCAUAGAGAUAUCUCUAACUUAAUAUGUCCAAAAUUAAAGUCAUCCCCUUCACCCCACUUACAAACACACAAGCCAACCUUUCCCUUCUGCAGUUUGCCCAUCUCAGGUAUUAUCAUUUGCCUGGUUGCCCAAGCCUCUUCUACGAGAAUCAUCUUUGAUUCCUCACUGUUUCACCCUGUAUAGUCAGUUAGUUCUAACUCCUACGUAGAUCUCAAUUCUAUCCCUCUUCUGUGUUGUCACUACCCUGGCUCAGGUUUUUAUCGUUCUUCUCCUGGAAUAUUUCAAUAAUUUCCUUACUGGUCUUGCUGUGCUCGUUCUUCCAGUGCUUUCCUUGCCCCCAGAGUAAUCCAGUUAUGUCAGUUAAGAUCAGAAAUUACUCCAGGCCAGGCACAGCGGCCCACACUAUAAUCCCAGAACUUCAGAAGGCCAAGAAAGGAGGUUCACUUUAGGCCAGGAGUUCAAGACCAGCCUGGGCAACAUAGUGAGACCUCAUUCUUAAAAUAUUAGCCUGUAGUCCUAGCUACUCCAGAGGCUGAGUCUGGAGGACUGCUUAAGCCCAGGAGGUAGAAGCUGCAGUGAGCCACAGUGGUUGCACUGACUCCAGCCUGGGUGAGAGAGAGACCCUGUGUC